GGAGUUGUGGCUUAGUGGUAGAGCGCUUGCUUAGCAUGUGUGAGGCCCUGGGUCCGAUUCUCAGCACCA
rnacentral:tRNA from 1 species